ACACAAUGCCCUCACCAGAAGCAACCAGAGGCAGACCCUCGACCUUGGACUUCCCAGCAUCCAGAACUCAUAAGAUUUACCUUUAUUUUUUAAUAUUGGAGAACUUGCCAUGUAAAUCCUAACAUGUGGAUGAACUAAAUACCUGGGGAGUUCAUCAUCUCUCACAAACUAAAUCCAGAGAAAAAACUUCCUGACACAAGAAAAAAUUGCAGUUAAAUGGAAAAUAAAUAAAGCAAAUGAAAAUUGGAAUGUGGAGCAUUUUGCAUGCCAGAUAAGAAAGGGCAUGUGACAAAGGAGAGCCAUUUCUUCCAUUUGAGAUUGGAGGGGGAAGAGUCCAAGGCUAGAAUCAUGUGGCUGACCAGGCUCCUGGGACUUCCACAUCUGCACAAUGGAUCAUGCAAAGGUCUGCAGCUUCACUCCUGAGCCAGCGAGACCACGAACCUACCAGAAGGAAGAAACUCCGAACACAUCCCAACAUCAGAAGGAACAAACUCCAGACGCGCCACCUUAAGAGCUGUAACACUCACCGCGAGGGUCCGCUGCUUCAUUCUUGAAGUCAGUGAGACCAAGAACCCACCAAUUCCGGACACACUAUCCUGGGGGAGCAGCCUGGCCCUAAAAGAGACUUGUGCGUGACCCCAGGAGACCCACUGACAUGGAUCAGGAAACUGCUUUAGAAUCCCAGGAACAGGGCUACGACCAAACUCCGUACUCUCCCAUUUGCCUGUCAUGUGUCAGCAUCUCUGUAUUGUCACUGGUGUAUUAAAAAUCUUGGCCUAAACAAAACAAACAAACAAAAAUGAAAUCCUGCUGUUUACCUAGUUUAGCUGCAAGGACCAGAAAACUCAAAAUAACAGUGGCCUAAACAAGAUAGACAUGCAUUUCUAUCUUACCUAAAUGAAAUCAGUAGGUGUAAAAAGUCCACAACUGCUGUUACGGCAGUCUCAAAAAGUCCUCAAGGGUCUAGACUCAGCCUCCCUCUUCCCUCUUUGCCAUCACUGGAGUGGUCCAUGUUCCAGUCCACAAAGUGGGGAAAGAAAAAGGACAUGGUUUUCUCUUAGAAAAGGUGUGAGAAGCUGCGAAACAUUUCUGUUUACAUCUCAUUGGCCAGAAUGCAGUCACAAGAUCAAAAUCAUACCUAGCCACAGGGAAGCUGGAAAAACCUAGUCUCUCAGACGAAGGAGUGUCUUCGAGGGAAUGACAAACUGUAUCUGUCUACCAUGCUUGAAAUGCAAGAGUCCCGUCAGCUAGGGUUCAUUCUUGGGAACCACUUCAACUUGUCUUCUUCAGAGAAGCACUUCAGUGGGACCAGAGAGAACACUGCGCAUCCCAGGAUCGCAGCCACUGGACUCCAGCAACUCGAGGAAGAGGCAGCCAUUGAUACCAGACCUAGAAUUCACUAAAGGUCAAUGCCUUCAGGAAUUUUCAUCUGAUUUGAUGAUUGAUGCCCUCCGCAUCAUGAGCCCAGGAAGACUCCCAUGCCAUGUUCCAGCUGAGGCACCCAACAGCAAUGAUGUUUUGUGAAAAUAGUGUGUGAUUUGGAUGCAAAUGAUCCUGGGUUCAAGACUUGCUUCUGUAAAGAAGAGAAUACCACACUCUCCUCUCCCAGUCACGUGGGGAGUUAAUCGAAACCCACGGAAAGUGCAUUGCAUAAGGACAAGAAGUCCAAUGUCCAGUGUAAGAUAUUUCCCUUAAAUUCCAGCUUUAUUUCUGACUUGCUCUAAGGCACUGGCUCAAGCUCUUAACUUCUAUAUUUCAGUUUUUCACUGGUGGGUAUUGCUUGCCUGGCUUGCAAGAAUGCUUGAGAAAUUCUGGCUCUAAGAGCAUGGGGCACUUUAAAAGUACAAAGUAUCAUUAUAUUUAUGAUUACAACUUGCUUGACAGUUUCAUAGUGCUAUAAUAUAGGAAAUAUGUAUUUCAAAAUAAUAACAGAAAUUGUACUGUUUUGGGAAUGGGUAUUCUGAGAUCCAGCAAGAGUUAGAAUGCCUUUAAAAACACUGCAAAUCUUCAAGUGCCAAGUUAAAACUCAAAUUCAGGGACCAUUCACAUCUCACAAUAAAACAGAGAAGACUCUCAAGAAUGGUAUAUGCUUAUUCUCAACUGUUAAACUAAUAGUAAUAUACUAUGCAUUAAUAUAUAGAAUAUAGAAUAAUGGUAUAUAUUAUACAAUAAAUCAUAUACCAUAAUACAUGUAAUAUCUAAUAAUAUAUGUUAUCACCUUUGUUUUUAUUACUAUUAUUCUACUUCCUAUGGCUAUUCCUAUGGCAACUGGAUGGGAGUAAGAAAUAUCAGAAGGGACAAGAUGGGAAAGCUUCAUAAAAUAAUGGAAAAAGCAUGGCAAAAAUUGAGAGAGAGGAUGAGAACUCAAAAGGACAGAGAGAGAAAGACGGAACUCUCUUGAGAGACUGCCUCUGGUGAUAUGGAAUCACUGUGCACUGUUACUCCACAUCACCUGGAACUACAGCAAAACAAGAAAGCCCAAAUUAAAUGCAGAAAUCACCUGUUUGAAGGCAGUGGUGGGCUGUCAAGGCUAAGAGAACCGGAGGGGCUAAGACUUGAGAGAGCAGAGAGGUGAGCUGAUGGCAGAGCCGAGAAUCUGAGGACAGAGAAGCCAGAGAACUUCUAAAAGAGACCUGAAGGGUUUCAAACACACAGUUGGCUUUCCCUUCAAAGCAUGUGCUGAAUUGGGGGUAUAUAAGGAGUAGAGGUUGAAAAACAGAAGUAGAAGGCCUCUGAAAAUCAUCAGAGUUUCUGGCAGUCUCAGGAGAUGAAAAUAGGAACUCAGGACCUGCCAAGGAAGGGAUCCCGGUGAAGACACCAGGUUCUCCGUUGGGCCAAGGAUAGACAGUAACCUGGCCUCACUGCCACCCCAAAAACUAAAUAAAUCAAGAUGGAUCAUGACCUAAAUGCAAAAGAUAAAACAAUAAAACUCCUAAAGAAAACAGGAAAAGAUCUUCAUAAUCUUGGAGUGAAAUUUCUUUUUUUUCCUCCCAGUUUUAAA